rnacentral:rRNA from 1 species
GACGGAGGAUGCAAGCGUUAUCCGGAAUUAUUGGGCGUAAAGCGUCCGCAGGCGGCUGUUCAAGUCUGCUGUCAAAGCGCAGAGCUUAACUCUGUACAGGCGGUGGAAACUGAAGAGCUAGAGUAUGGUAGGGGUAGAGGGAAUUCCCGGUGUAGCGGUGAAAUGCGUAGAUAUCGGGAAGAACACCAGUGGCGAAAGCGCUCUACUGGGCCAUAACUGACACUGAGGGACGAAAGCUAGGGGAGCGAAAGGG